rnacentral:rRNA from 1 species
GAUGAACGCUGGCGGUAUGCUUAACACAUGCAAGUCGAACGGACUCUUCGGAGUUAGUGGCGGACGGGUGUGUCACGCGUGGGAAUCUGGCUUUGGGUUCGGGACAACCACUGGAAACGGUGGCUAAUACCGGAUGUGCCGAGAGGUAAAAGAGAAAUUUCCUGCAGAUGAGUCCGCGUCUGAUUAGCUAGUUGGUGAGGUAAAGGAGGACCAAGGCAACGAUGAGUAGCUGAUCUGAGAGGAUGACCAGCCACACUGGACCUGAGACACCGGCCAGACUCGGACGGGAGGCAGCGGUGGGGAAUCUGCGGAAACGGGCGAAAGACUGAAGGAAGAAAGCGGGGUGAGUGAAGAAUGUAUUCGGAUUGAAAAACUCGGUGAUGAGGGAAGAAUAAGUGUGAAAGUAACCACGCACGAAUUGACGGUAACUAAUCAGAAAGCUACGGCUAAAUACGUG